rnacentral:rRNA from 1 species
GACGAACGCUGGCGGCGUGCCUAAUACAUGCAAGUCGAACGCAGUGGUGACUGGGGAGUAACACGUGGGUAACCUCCCAUCAGAGGGGAUAACACUUGGAAACAGGUGCUAAACCGAUAUAGAUCGAUGGACGCGCGGUGCAUUAGCUAGGUGGCGAGGUAACGGCUCACCAAGGCGACGAUGCAUAGCUGGGUUGAGAGGGUGAUCGGCCACACUGGGACUGAGACACGGCCCAGACUCCUACGGGAGGCAGCAGUGGGGAAUCUUCGGCAAUGGGCGAAAGUCUGAUCCAGCAACGCCGCGUGUGUGAAGAAGGUUUUCGGAUCGUAAAACUCUGUUGUUAGUGAAGCGGUAUCUACCCAGAAAGCCACGGCUAACUACGUGCCAGCCGCCGCGGUAAUAC